rnacentral:rRNA from 1 species
AUUAAACGCUGGCGGCAUGCCGUACACAUGCAAGUCGAACGGCAGCACGGGGGCAACCCUGGUGGCGAGUGGCGAACGGGUGAGUAAAGCAUCGGAACGUGCCCUGGAGUGGGGGAUAACGUAGCGAAAGUUACGCUAAUACCGCAUAUUCUGUGAGCAGGAAAGCAGGGGAUCGCAAGACCUUGCGCUCUGGGAGCGGCCGAUGUCGGAUUAGCUAGUUGGUGGGGUAAAGGCCUACCAAGGCGACGAUCCGUAGCGGGUCUGAGAGGAUGAUCCGCCACACUGGGACUGAGACACGGCCCAGACUCCUACGGGAGGCAGCAGUGGGAAUUUUGGACAAUGGGCGAAAGCCUGAUCCAGCCAUGCCGCGUGAGUGAAGAAGGCCU